rnacentral:rRNA from 1 species
UACGUAGGGGGCGAGCGUUGUCCGGAAUUAUUGGGCGUAAAGCGCGUGUAGGCGGCUCGGUAAGUCUGCUGUGAAAGUCCAGGGCUCAACCCUGGAAUGCCGGUGGAUACUGUCGAGCUAGAGUACGGAAGAGGCGAGUGGAAUUCCUGGUGUAGCGGUGGAAUGCGCAGAUAUCAGGAGGAACACCAAUAGCGAAGGCAGCUCGCUGGGACGUUACUGACGCUGAGGCGCGAAAGCGUGGGGAGCGAACAGG